rnacentral:rRNA from 1 species
AUGAACGCUGGCGGCGUGCCUAAUACCUGCAAGUCGAGCGAACGGACGAGAAGCUUGCUUCUCUGAUGUUAGCGGCGGACGGGUGAGUAACACGUGGAUAACCUACCUAUAAGACUGGGAUAACUUCGGGAAACCGGAGCUAAUACCGGAUAAUAUUUUGAACCGCAUGGUUCAAAAGUGAAAGACGGUCUUGCUGUCACUUAUAGAUGGAUCCGCGCUGCAUUAGCUAGUUGGUAAGGUAACGGCUUACCAAGGCAACGAUGCAUAGCCGACCUGAGAGGGUGAUCGGCCACACUGGAACUGAGACACGGUCCAGACUCCUACGGGAGGCAGCAGUAGGGAAUCUUCCGCAAUGGGCGAAAGCCUGACGGAGCAACGCCGCGUGAGUGAUGAAGGUCUUCGGAUCGUAAAACUCUGUUAUUAGGGAAGAACAUAUGUGUAAGUAACUGUGCACAUCUUGACGGUACCUAAUCAGAAAGCCGCGGCUAACUACGUG